rnacentral:rRNA from 1 species
UUCAAGAUAAGAUUUCCCACCGCAAGGGUAAGACCCCAGAAAGACUAUCUGGUUGAUAGGUCGAAGGUGUAAGUGCAGCAAUGUAUUUAGCUUAUCGAUACUAAUAGGUCGAGGACUUGACCAAUAUCAUU